rnacentral:rRNA from 1 species
AUAUAUAGGAUAGAAAGAGCGAACGAGGUGAACUGAUACAUCUAAGUAACCUUAGGAAAAGAAAACAAUAGUGAUUCCCUUAGUAGUGGCGAACGAAAGGGGAAUAGCCUAAACCAAUAUUGUGUCAAGUCUGCAAAUCUUGCAAUGUUGGGGUUGAGGGGUUAUUAUUAAUCUAAUUGCAGUUAGAUUGACAAGUCAAAAAAUAUAAUGUUAACAAAAAAAUCUGGAAAGUUUUACCAUAGAAGGUGAUAGUCCUGUAUGUGAAAAUGUUAUAUCUUGUCUUAAUAAUUCCCAAGUAGGGCGGGACACGUGAAAUCCUGUUUGAAUCUGCCAAGACCACUUGGCAAGGCUAAAUACUUCCAUGUAACCGAUAGUGAACUAGUACCGUGAGGGAAAGGUGAAAAGUACUCCGAAAGGAGAGUGAAAUAGAACCUGAAACUGUGUGUUUACAAGCGGUCAGAGUUCGGCUUUAUGCUGAACGAUGGCGUGCCUUUUGCAUAAUGAGCCAGCGAGUUAGUCGUAUGUUGCUAGGUUAAGUAUUGUUAAAUACGGAGCCGUAGGGAAACCAAGUCUGAAUAGGGCGAUUGAGUAUCAUGCGCUAGACCCGAAACCGAGUGAUCUAUCCAUGGUCAGGUUGAAAUUUCAGUAACAUGAAAUGGAGGACCGAACCCACUAAAGUUGAAAAUUUAGGGGAUGAACUGUGGAUUGGAGUGAAAGGCUAAUCAAACUCGGAGAUAUCUGGUUCUCGCCGAAAUGUCUUUAGGGACAGCGUUAAUGUAGUGUACCGGGGGUAGAGCACUGGAUGGACUA